rnacentral:rRNA from 1 species
AUUGAACGCUGGCGGCAGGCCUAACACAUGCAAGUCGAACGAGUGGCGGACGGGUGAGGAAUGUCUGGGAAACUGCCCGCGGGAGGGGGAUAACUACUGGAAACGGUAGCUAAUACCGCAUACCAUCGGAUGAGCCCAGAUGGGAUUAGAUAGUAGGUGGGGUAACGGCUCACCUAGCCGACGAUCCCUCGCUGGUCUUAGAGGAUGACCAGCCUCACUUGGACCGAGACACGGUCCAGACUCCUACGGGAGGAAGCAGUGGGGAAUAUUGCACAAUGGGAGCAAGCCUGAUGCAGCCAUGCCGCGUGUAUGAAGAAGGCUCUAGGGUUGUAAAGUACUUUCAGCGAGGAGGCGUUACUCGCAGAAGAAGCACCGGCUAACUCCGUGCCAGCAGCCGCGGUAAUUC